rnacentral:rRNA from 1 species
UACGUAGGGGGCGAGCGUUAUCCGGAAUUACUGGGCGUAAAGCGCUUGUAGGCGGUCCACCAAGUUUGGGGUGACAGUUGCCGACUUAAUCGGCAAAGUGCCUCAAAGACUGGCGGACUUGAGGGCCACAGAGGGACAUGGAACUCCAGGUGUAGUGGUGAAAUGCGUAGAUAUCGUGGAAGAACACCAAAGGCGAAGGCAGUGUCCUGGGUGGUCGCUGACGCUGAGAGGCGAAAGCCAGGGGAGCGAACGGG